AGAUGAGUUCUCCCUGAGACUUUAAGUCUCCUGAAGGAACGUUGAAGACGACGACGUUGAUAGGCCGGGUGUGUAAGCGCAGUGAUGCGUUGAGCUAACCGGUACUAAUGAACCGUGAGGCUUAACCUU
rnacentral:rRNA from 2 species